rnacentral:rRNA from 1 species
AUACGUAGGGAGCGAGCGUUGUCCGGAAUUACUGGGUGUAAAGGGAGCGUAGGCGGGAUUGCAAGUCAGAUGUGAAAACUUAGGGCUCAACCUUAAGAUUGCAUUUGAAACUGUAGUUCUUGAGUGAAGUAGAGGUAAGCGGAAUUCCUAGUGUAGCGGUGAAAUGCGUAGAUAUUAGGAGGAACAUCGGUGGCGAAGGCGGCUUACUGGGCUUUUACUGACGCUGAGGCUCGAAAGCGUAGGGAGC